AUGCUAGGACCGUUCUUUGCUGACCGUCCAGAGCUGCACAAGGCAUUCGAGCUGUGCAUGGACCACAGCUUGACGGUGGAGGAGUUUGAAAGGAGUUGGAUGACUAUGAUCAAAACAUAUCAAGUCCAAGACCACGAGACGCUUGCUAGCUUAUGGGAGAAGCGAAUGUACUGGGUGCCGGCCUACUUCAUGCAGUGCUUCUUCCCGUUUCUGCAGACUACACAACGCAGUGAGGGGUUCAAUGCUGUUUUGAAGCGCUACGUGAGCCCUGACAACUCAUUGCUACAGUUUGCCAAGCAGUACACCGCUUUGCAACAAAAAAUACUGGGAUCCGAGCUGCAGCAAGAAGCAAACACCGCGCUUAAGCAGCCAAAAUUGCUAACAUAUUUACCAAUGGAGAGACAGAUGAGCAAGAUAUACACCAACAAGAUUUUUAACAAGUAA
rnacentral:rRNA from 1 species